rnacentral:tRNA from 1 species
GGAAAGGUGGCCGAGUGGUUUAAGGCGACGGUCUUGAAAACCGUUGUGGGGCCAGUCCUCACCGUGAGUUCGAAUCUCACCCUUUCCG